rnacentral:ncRNA from 1 species
AUUCAUCAGUGUCCUGCUUUUCCUGCUUUCCUUGUCAAAAUGUUCCAGCUUCAUCUUUUCUUUCCAUAGGAAUUCACUAUGAAACCUGCCGUCCCGACCCGAAAAAUUCCCUCUACACCUAUCGACAGUCAGUAUGUACAAAUAAUUUUGAAACUUAUGAAAACCUCAAACAUUCACGUGACCAAAUAUUAUCCAACUCUGUUUUAUUGUCUUCUUUCCUUCACUCACUCAGUACUCAAUUCUUCAUAUUGCUAUUUGAGGAGUAAAAUUCUUGGACUGUAGCGAGACGUAUGACUGCUAAAACAUUUGUCAAGAACCUCUUCAUUAAUCAAGAAUGAAAGUCAGAGGUUCGAAAGCGAUUAGAUAUCGCUCUAGUUCUGACCAUAAAUGAUACCAACUAGCGUCCCAUCUGCGGU